AAAGAUUAAGCCAUGCAUGUCUAAGUAUACGCAAAUUAUACUGUGAAACUGCGAAUGGCUCAUUAAAUCAGUUAUAGUUUAUUUGAUGUUUCUUGCUACAUGGAUAACUGUGGUAAUUCUAGAGCUAAUACAUGCGUAAAAAGCCCCGACUUCUGGAAGGGGUGUAUUUAUUAGAUAAAAACCAUCCUCCUCGGAGUUUGGUGAUUCAUAAUAACUUCUCGAAUCGCACGGCCUUGUGCUGGCGAUGCUUCAUUCAAAUAUCUGCCCUAUCAACCUUCGAUGGUAGGAUAGUGGCCUACCAUGGUGG
rnacentral:rRNA from 2 species